CUCCCCCUGGUGGAUGCUAUGGGGAGGGACUGAUUAUUGAUGAGAGAUGACUUCCUGACAUGUUUCUGUUUUUCAUCUUUCAGCUUUCAGUCAAAUCUUCUGUUCUUCCUCCACAUGCUGAAGUUUUUCUUCAUGUCGUCAUAAAAAAUAAAAAACCGAAAAACAUCACAAAGACCUAAAACCUAACGUCAACAACUGGACCUGAAAUAAAACCAAAGACAUGGAACCUUUAGUCAGACUGCAGAGGAAGAUCAUGUAGCGUGACCGAAAGCUCCAGGUGAGGAAGGUGAGGAACAGAUGAAAAAACUUUAACUGUGAUUUUUAUUCAAAUAGAAAAACUUAAAAUCACAUUUUAAACUCUGACCAGAGUUUAACAGAAACAUCUCUAUAAAUCUCUACCAGCUGCUGGAAUACCAGUGUUACUGUGAAGAAGUAAUCAGAUACUUUACUGGAGUAAAAGUACCACACAGUAACACACACACUAACAGAUGAAUCAAACAUUUCAGAACCAUUUAAAAAUUCAGUUUUAACAAGUAAAAAACUCAUGAAACAAAGAAAGAAAUGAACCAGUUUAUUAUAAAUCUGAAACUGAACAGAGAGAACCACUGAUGAUCAGGUGUGUGUAUUGAUGAUCAGGUGUACUGAUGAUCAGGUGUGUGGACAGAGACUCGGAGCACAGAGUUUGACUUUAACGUUUUUAUUGUGGGUAAAUCUUGGCGUUUACAGACGGCGACCGCGGCGUCCGCCCUUCCUCCUGGUCGAGUCCGACGGGAUUGGAGUGACAUCCUC